UUGCAUUGAAAAGGGACGGGCUAUCUUUAUGGAUUGUUUCGUAUAAUUUUGAUGCGAGAUAAUAGAGAGGCGCACUGUUACUCUUCAUCACUUUUUCUGUGAACGGAGAGUGUCAAGCGCUUCCCACAAUU
rnacentral:snoRNA from 15 species